ACGUAGGGGGCAAGCGUUAUCCGGAUUUACUGGGUGUAAAGGGAGCGUAGACGGUUAUGCAAGUCUGAAGUGAAAUGCGGGGGCUCAACCCCUGAACUGCUUUGGAAACUGUGUGACUUGAGUGCAGGAGAGGUAAGUGGAAUUCCUAGUGUAGCGGUGAAAUGCGUAGAUAUUAGGAGGAACACCAGUGGCGAAGGCGGCUUACUGGACUGUAACUGACGUUGAGGCUCGAAAGCGUGGGGAGCAAACAG
rnacentral:rRNA from 1 species